GUAAAAGCGGCUUGACGCUGAUAAAACAUGGGGAUAAAAUGAUUUCAUGAUUCAGUGGAGUGUCAUUCAGGCUCUGAACUGAGGAAAUCCUUUUAUGUGAAGGUAUCAAAGGCGUGAGGCAGAAAGAGUGCAUAACACUCAUGCGGAGCAGAAGCUGUCAGCUGUCGGCGAGCACGCAGGUGUCAACAUGAAGCAGAUUGACGGAUGGAAGCGGACGCAAAUGCCGAGUUUGUCAAAUCGGUGAAAACAGACGAGGCCUGCUGCCGAAUCUCCGUGGAGUGUUUCUGGACCUCACUCCAAAUCUAAGCCAGAUUUGUCCCACGUGCAGGCAAACUCACAGUCAGCAGAUUUGGAUAAAGCAAUAUUCUGUGAAUGCAGAGCAGUCACGUCGAUAAAGAGAGGCAGGGGAUGGCUGCAGGAGACCGCAGGGCAUACAGGACCCGACUGGGCCCGACCAGCCCUGAAACCAUCCAGCUGCAUGGGACACCAUUCACACAGGGCACAGAGCGUGAAACACCAUUGCCAAUUAAACCGACACACAAGUCUGUGUUCUUAAAAGACUUAAAACUCUACGUUUAAAACGCGUCGGAAGAGAGAACUAAAAGAACACAUGUUGCUUUUCAUG